rnacentral:lncRNA from 1 species
CUCAUCUCCCACCUUUUCCUGCAGCUAAGUCAUUUUCCAUAUAAAAGGAAGACCCCUCUGAGCGCUCUCUCUCUCUCUCUCUCUCUCUCUCUCUCUCUCUCUCUCUCUCUCUCUCUCUCUCUCUCUCCCUCUUCUCCCCUUUAUUCGCCCCCACCUUUGCCCUUCUCUCCUACAAUAAACCUCACGUGGAACCUUUUGGCCUGGUGUGGUCUGUCUGGAGCCGCACGUCUAACACAUCAAUGGACAAAUAUGGCUGACCCUGGGAUGGACUCCAGUGUAAAAGAGACACCUGCACUAAUAUAAAAAACUAUUUGGAUUAAGACUUACAUUUUGAGAAACGGUCAAGUAAAGUUUAAGUUCCCAAGACCUCCCUGGGAACUGACAUCCUACUUGGUAGAAAGAGUCAUGUAUGUGGAUAACUGACACCCUGCCUAGCAACUUAAGACAUGAAUGUUAGACAAGGCAAGCUACCUGGCACAGGUAAAUACCCCAACCAAU